UACGUAGGGUCCGAGCGUUGUCCGGAAUUACUGGGCGUAAAGAGCUCGUAGGUGGUUUGUCGCGUUGUCCGUGAAAACUCACAGCUUAACUGUGGGCGUGCGGGCGGAUACGGGCAGACUGGAGUACUGCAGGGGAGACUGGAAUUCCUGGUGUAGCGGUGGAAUGCGCAGAGUAUCAGGAGGAACACCGGUGGCGAAGGCGGGUCUCUGGGCAGUAACUGACGCUGGAGGAGCGAAAAGCCGUGGGGAGCGAACAGG
rnacentral:rRNA from 1 species